rnacentral:tRNA from 1 species
GCUUUGGUAGUUUAAUGGUGAGAACACUUUCCUCUUAUGGAAAGAGAUCUGAGUUCAAAUCUCAGCUAAAGCA